GGGGAUUUAGCUCAGCGGUAGAGCGCUUGCCUAGCAAGUGCAAGGCCCUGGGUUCAAUCCCCAGCUCCA
rnacentral:tRNA from 1 species